rnacentral:rRNA from 1 species
UAAAGGGCUGCAGUAUAUUGACUGUACAAAGGUAGCAUAAUCAUUAGUCUUUUAAUUGAAGACUCGUAUGAAGGAUUUGAUGAAAUAUAAACUGUCUCUGAUUUAUAAAUAGAAAUUAAUUUUUUAAUUAAAAAGUUAAAAUAUUGUUAAAAGACGAGAAGACCCUAUAGAGUUUUAUAAUUUAUUUAUUUAAUUAAUAAGUAUAUAUUUUUAAUUUAAUAAAUAAUUAAAUUAUUAUGUUGGGGUGAUAAAAAAAUUUAAUAAACUUUUUUUAAUUUGAAACAUAAAUAAGUGAUAAAAUGAUCCAUUAUUAAUGAUUACAAGAAAAAAUUACCUUAGGGAUAACAGCGUAAUAUUUUUUUUUAGUACAAAUAAUAACGAAAGUUUGCGACCUCGAUGUUGGAUUAAGAUAAAAUUUAAAUGCAAAAGUUUAAAAGUUUUGAUCUGCUCGAUCAUUAAAAUCUUACAUGAUCUGAGCU